GACGAACGCGUGGCGGCGUGCUUAACACAUGCAAGUCGAACGGUAAGGCCCGUUCGGGGUACACGAGUGGCGAACGGGUGAGUAACACGUGGGUGAUCUGCCCUGCACUUCGGGAUAAGCUUGGGAAACUGGGUCUAAUACCGGAUAGGACCACGGUCUGCAUGGAUUGUGGUGGAAAGUCUUUUGCGGUGUGGGAUCGGGCCCGCGGCCUAUCAGCUUGUUGGUGGGGUGAUGGCCUACCAAGGCGACGACGGGUAGCCGGCCUGAGAGGGUGUCCGGCCACACUGGGACUGAGAUACGGCCCAGACUCCUACGGGAGGCAGCAGUGGGGAAUAUUGCACAAUGGGCGCAAGCCUGAUGCAGCGACGCCGCGUGGGGGAUGACGGCCUUCGGGUUGUAAACCUCUUUCAGCAGGGACGAAGGGUGACUGACGGUACCUGUAGAAGAAGCACCGGCCAACUACGUG
rnacentral:rRNA from 1 species